rnacentral:lncRNA from 1 species
ACCAGACCUGCUCACCCCUUCCACGGAACACGUCCAGAAGGUAGACCAGCGCCAAACUGAGCGGGUCUAGAGUCCCAGCCCGCUGCCGACCUGCACUGAGCAUGCUCAGAGGCCGCAGGAUGGGACUUGUCUCAAAUGCCCCUGCUUGCAUCAUUACCAGCAAGCACUUCAGGGAGCGAACUGGCGUCCGGAGUCCCUAUGUGAAAAACUCAUUAGACCUAGGAGACCCGCAGCAGAGCAACCCAGAGAGGUGACUGGUUAGGGGCAGACCUCCCACAACGCCCUGCCCUUUCAGAUCAAAGAGACAGAAGCAUCCUGACUGAAGAUGUCUCUUCUCACACCUUCCAGUUGGCACCCUGCCCGACCACUACCUCAGAGUACUCAUGACAAGUUUAUGUGUUAGACAUUGACAGUCAUCUUAAUUCAUUUUUUUUUUUCUUAAGCUUGUUAAUUGUGCUCAGGGAAGCCAAACGAGUGGGGUUUCUUGGAACUGGAGUAACGGGCAUUAUGGGCACACCGAUGAGGACGCAGGGAAUCAAACUUAGGUCCUAUGCAAAAGAUAUAUUGCUUUUAAUCUCCUUUAAAAAAAUUUUUUAAUAAUGCUUUUUUUAAAGAUUUAUUUAUUUAUUUAUUGUCUGUGAGUACUCAGUACACUGCCACUGUCUUCAGACACCAGAAGAGGGCAUCGGAUCCCUUUACAGAUAGCUGUGAGCAUUAUGUGGUUGCUGGGAAUUAAACUCAUGACCUCCGGAAGAGCAGGCAGUGUGCUCCUAACUGCUGAGCCAUCUCUUCAGCCCCAAGGCUGAAUCUCUUAAGUGCCAAACUCUGGUGGAAACAGAGUAACACAGUUCCUGCUGCUGGUACAGGGCCCUGGUGUGAGCCUCCAGAUGUUGCUGAGCCCUUCGUGGAAAGUGUCCAGUGUCUUCUGUGGGCAUAAGGCUUGUUUGUGUAAUAAAUAAUGUACAUGUUUUCACAUCCCUUCAGGGAAUGUCCUCUCUCUUAAGGAUAAUGACUCCAUGAUAAUCUAAGACAGCAUGAGUAUUACAGGAGGCAAAGGUGUGGCUAAUGUUUCAGCAAAAUGGUAAACCCAGGACCUUCAGGAUGCAAUAUGAAUUAUGAGGGGCUUCAGGACUCUAAAGGAGCAAAGACAACUGCACUAAUGAGCCAGCUUGUCAGAAAGAUACAAAGACAGGCAGAUUCCUGAGUUCAAGUUCAGCCUGGGGCACAGCAAAUCCAAGCUCAGGUAGAAAUGGUCUUUUCAGGAGAUCCACCCAGCUAGCUGAUCCCACCCAGCUAGCUUAGCAACCGUGUGUAACACAGCAGGCAGAUCUCGGAAUUCUUUUGCAAUGUUAAAAGAAAACAUGUGCUUGCUGUUUUCCUAAGAAUCAAAGGGGUGGGGUCAGGGGAUGCUGAUUCAUAGGAUAAUCAAAAGAGAACCUGGAAUAAAUAAUUGAAUUGAGGUGUAAAUUUAAAAAG